AUUAUUUUAACAGCAGCAGUGGCGGUGGUUAAUCAUCAAGAGCUCUGUUUUUCAUGCAGGCGUGGGCAUAAAUGCAGGACUUUUGCCAUUAACAAGCUUCUCUUUCAGUUUCCCUUCAACCACCCAUUAAAAAAAACACACAUUUACACCUCAAAACACACACUGAUCUUCAAAAAAUUUGUGGGUUUCUUUUAAUUUCUUGUGGGUAUUGAUUAUUCUCAUAAAAAACAGUAAUUUAAACCCCAAGAUUUGUGCUUUUUUCAAAUUCUUGAAGUGGGUAUUGCUAAAAGUUGGUCAGAUUCUCUGAAAUGAGUAUCUUUUUCUCCGUCUAGGGUUUGGUUUGGUCAGAAGCUCAGAAUGAAUGAUGAAUGAUGAAAGAUGAAAUGGAUGAUGGGUUAUUUAAUAUUUUUAUUAUGAUACUGAAUGAAUUAACUGCUCAAAGAAGACACUUUUCAGAGGUCUUUAAUGAGUUUUCUUGUCAUUGGUGAUGCAUCUCUUUCAGUGAAUUAGGUAUUUAUUUUGAUUUGAUUUACUGAUAUUAUCUGGAAUCAUCCUUUUUGGAACAGUCUUGUCAAUCUUUAACAUUAAAUUUCCAACCUUUUUGUUUGUUUGGAUCAUCUUUAUUGCUUCCAGUAGCUUAAAUUUCUCAUAUUUAAGUUGUUUGUUCAGUUUGGGGCUUUAAUUUUUCUGGGUUUUUGUUGCUGCUUGAGGGUUUGUAAAUUAGGGUUUUUUAGGGUUUUGAUAUGGCUGGUGAGGAUGAAAUUGAAAGGGGAAAUAGAGAUGAGGAACAAAUACAUUACAAUUCAACCAAUUUAGCCUCAGAUUGGCCUUUUAACAACAACCCUAAUGAUCUUGCAAACACAUCAAGUAACCCCAUUUGGGAUCAUCAUCCCACAAAUCCACAAAAUUUAGCUGCUUUUUGUGAUAUGAAUAUGCAAAACAAUGCAACCACUUCAUCAUCCUCACUAGGGUUUAGAAAAGGGAAUCUUGACAUGUGGGCACAUACAAAUUCUGCCAUUAAAAGGGGUGGUGGUGGUAUGUUCUUGCCACCGGGCGGUUCCGCUAUGCUUCCGCACACGUUAUCGCAGUUUCCGGCGGAUUCGGGUUUUAUCGAGAGGGCAGCUAGGUUAUCAUCAUUUAGUGCUGGUAAUUUUGAAGAUAUUAUAAACCCUUUUGGCAAUGCACCUGAAACAUCUUUGAGCCCUUAUUCUAGUAGACAACAAGUGCAUCCACAAGAGGGUUUUGUUGGAAAUGGGUUUAAAUCGGGUUCCGGUGAAGCGUCUAAAGAUUUGCCAUUGCCGGUUGAUGGUGGGACCAAUGACGGAAGUCAGCCUAAACCGGGCGGGUCGGGUUUUUCGGGCAAUAAUUUGCCCGGUGAAACCGAAUUUAGUGGUGGUGGUCAGGAUGAGAAUUCGAACUCGGGUCAUGGCCCGAAGAAACGAAGAAGAAGUGAUCAGGAUAGUGAGCACAAUCAAGUCAAACGGUCCCCGCAAACGCCUGGUGAAGCCACAAAGAACAAUAGUGAAGUCCAACAAAAGGGUGAUAAUACUAACAACCCGAAUUCGGUUGCUAAUAAAUCAAGUGGGAAACAUGGUAAGCAGGUAUCGCAAUCAUCCGAUGCACCAAAGGAAGAAUACAUCCACGUACGCGCGCGAAGAGGUCAAGCUACUAAUAGCCACAGUCUUGCAGAAAGAGUGAGGAGGGAAAAGAUUAGUGAAAGAAUGAAAUUCCUUCAAGACCUUGUCCCCGGAUGUAGCAAGGUCACAGGCAAAGCGGUUAUGUUGGAUGAAAUCAUUAACUAUGUACAGUCGUUACAACGACAAGUUGAGUUUUUGUCGAUGAAACUCGCUACUGUUAAUCCGAGGAUGGAUUUUAACCUUGAAGGACUCCUAGCAAAAGAUAUACUUGAAUCAAGAUUGGGAUCUUCCGGUUCACUUGGUUUUAGUGCUGACAUGGCUAUGCCGUAUACUACUAACCAAUCACAAAUGGUGAUAAUGCAAGGCGGGAUUCCUGGUGUCGGAAGCUCUUCCGAUGCAGUCAGAAGAACCAUCGGUUCCCAUUUGAUGGCCAUCGGUGGAGGGUUUAAAGAUCCUGCUUCCCAGACAGGUACCUAGUUCGUGGGACGACGAGCUUAACAACAUCGUCCAAAUGGGAUUAAAUCCUAAUACUCCCGUCAGCAGCCAAAAUUUAGGAUCCACACCUCCAGGCCAUCUGAAAGCCGAACCUUAAAAACUUAGGCUUCACAAAAAGAUAAUUAGAAGAAUCCCGGGUCGAAUCUUGUGGGGUCCAGACACCGGGAGAUGUAAUUAGUCUGUGGGUAUUCUUUUUAUAUAUAAACUGCAAGAGAAGGUGAUAAUACAUAAUUCACGGAUGGGAAUCGAGUUGCUCGGUAAGAACAUCAAAUGAUUUUGUUGACUCAAAUUGUAACGCAACCGACGAAUCUGCAUCCGGUUUAUCUUUGUUAAGAAUAUUUGGAAUUAUGGGUUGUUUUAUUUUGUUAAAAAAAAAAAAAAAAUCUUUGUUUGUAAUUUCUGAUUGUUUUAGAACAGUUUGUUGGUUUCUUCAUACUUAACAUGGUUUUAGUAAAAUUGAUUUGUGGACUC